rnacentral:tRNA from 1 species
GGGCCUAUAGUUUAGUGGUAAAAUUUCCGUCUCCAAAACGGAAGUCGCAGGUUCGACCCCUGCUGGGCCCG